UACGGGGGGAGCAAGCGUUGUUCGGAUUUACUGGGCGUAAAGGGCGCGUAGGCGGUCAGCACAAGUCAGUUGUGAAAUCUCCGGGCUUAACUCGGAAAGGUCAACUGAUACUGUGCGACUAGAGUGCGGAAGGGGCAACUGGAAUUCUCGGUGUAGCUGUGAAAUGCGUAGAUAUCGAGAGGAACACCUGCGGCGAAGGCGGGUUGCUGGGCCGACACUGACGCUGAUGCGCGAAAGCCAGGGGAGCGAACGGG
rnacentral:rRNA from 1 species